CAAACAGCGUCGCGUCCAGCAGUGAAGCAUCCGUCACCGAGUGUGCAUUCGCGCCAAACUUAUUGACUUUGGAUUCGCUACAGGUCCCCACGCAGACCCCAAGGUGUCCAAAUUUAGAGGCAAAAUGCAAUACUGUCCGCCCGAGUACGACUCACUCAGACUACCGCCGCGAGGCGAAUGUGUGGGCUGCAUCCUUUACGAAAUGAUCACAGGCCCCGGGCGUUCAGUGGGCCCAAAGCUGCGGCAAACAAGCCCCUCCAAAAUUCCCAAGUUCAUUUCAAAGGGUAAUUUUAAUGCUUGAGACAUGGGGUAUCAGAAAAAUGGAAAAGCGUGAAAUAACUAAACAGACGUCAAUUGUUUGUUUCGGUAUCUAACAAAUAAGUACCCCAACUUCCCUCCCACUGCCUCUGAUUGCAAAACACACAUAACCAUUUUCUGUCAAGGUGCAUCUGAACUUCUACAGAGGCUUCUCGAGAAAGAGGCGUUCUGGAAAGUCGACCUGGAGAACAUAUCGAAUGAUCCUUGGCUCAUAGGCUAGACACGCACAGAGUGUUUGAUUCCAACAACCGCAGAAUUCCACAACAGAUUUAGUGAAAGUGGUACAAAAUAGUAAGGCUUUAAAGGCCCUGCCUCACGUGGUAUUCGAGGCACAGGCUAUAGGCUAAUAAUGGGUCAAAGAAUUCCAUUGUAAUAGAAUCUAGGAAAAGCAGGGAUGAUAGAGGACAGGCCAGUAGCCAGGGGGGGGGGGGGGUUCGGAAGAACCACCCCACUGGACUGGAAGGUCCACUCUAUUUAAGGAAAAUAGAGUACCACUGUGAGCUAUAAACAUACAUAUACAUACAUACUUUUUAUUUGGACCUUAUACAGAUUGUGUACAUGGGAUGAGUUCCAAAUAAAAUUAAGAUAGUUUCACAUGCGAUGAAGGACUACAACGUUAAUGGGCUUCGUAACGAAGUGAUUUUGGCAAUAAAUUUUGCUAUUAUUUUUUGAA